UGUAAAUAAUGAUUUUAACAGUGUAUAUUUGUUUAUUUUUAGGAUCCUCCCGUGCUUCCAGUUGGCCAGUUCAGUGAGAAAUUUGUCCACUUCAUUACUCAGUGUAUGAGGAAGCAACCCAAAGAAAGACCUGCUCCAAACAACCUUAUGGAUCACCCCUUUAUCGUGCAAUAUAAUGACGGCAACACCGAGGUCGUGUCCAUGUGGGUGUGCCGCAGCCUAGAGGACCGCAAAGCCCAGCAGGCACAGAUACUCAUGUGAACAACAGUGGCACAGGAUGGAACUAUGGGAGAUGGUGUUCACAUUUCCUUACUUUAUUCUUCCACUGAACCCAGAAAAGCAGCAGCUGAACUUGCAGCUCUUCCUCCCAUGCGUGAUUUUAAUGAUGCACGGUGAGACAACUGCUUCGAGUCUAAUGCAGAUUAUUUGUCCUGCACAUGAGGAUUAUAACCGUACGUAUUGGUUUGCAUUGAUGCAAAUCUUUAACUUUGUUCUUCUGCAGUGGGUUUCUUUUCACUUUUUACUGCAGAUUCCAAAGUAAAUGUUUUCACUUAAGAUCCUUGCGGGGGGCUGUUGCUCGCUCCACUCGAAUCGAGUAAAAAAUGGUGUCUCUGUCUGUACUUAAAGCCACAAUCUGGUUUUGCCAAAACAUUGUGGGCAUGUCAUAAAUCAUCUCGAGAUCAGUGAAACAUUACAGUUUUCAAAUAUAUGGGGGUGUGUCAAGCAUCGCUGCAGUGCAAGUCAUGCUGCUGUUGUUUUAAAAGCCCCUUUGUUGAGUUUCACAAAUGGCCUGCCACUUGUGGCGAUACCCUA